UUAAGGUUUGAAUUCAUGAUUCGUUUUACCCGCCUACUCGGUCUACUACUAAACGCACCUCUGCUGCGCGGUAGGCUUGUGGGCGGAAUCAAACACUGAUUCGAGCCUGAACAAAUCAAGAAACCCGCGCCAUGCGCGGGUUUUUUU
rfam:Erwinia sp. EM595 isolate E_g_EM595 genome assembly, chromosome: 1